AGUUUGUUGACGGUUCUGCAGAAUUUGGACUCGUGCGUGCCCGCAGUUGAUGAGGUGGUCAUCUCUGGAAAUUAAUUGAACUCCUGGGGACUCAAACCCACAGCUGUGCAACGGCUCUCCCACACCCGAAGUCCAACCUGCCAUCCACUGUCCUCAGAUAAGAAAACUGAGCCACAGUGAGAUUAACAAGCCCAAAGACACACAGGGACUAAGUGGUGGAUGCUUGAUUAGAAUCCAGGAAACUCUGGCUUCAUCAUCCCUGCUAUGCAGCCAUACACUGAUGAAUUCCAGAUCCAUAUAUCCAGCUCAGUCAUCUCUCCUUAACGACGGACCUCAUGGUCUGACAGUCCCACAGGCAGACUGCACUGAACAAGCCCAAGGCAAACUCCAGGGAAGAGGAGAUGACUUUACAUAGAAGGGAAGUGUUAGAGAAACUGGCUUCCAAAGGCUCUACCCCCACCCCAUGGAGGGACAGAGGGACUCAGGGAUAAAGUGUGUGGAGGACUUGAAAGGAGUGGUGUGACGUGGGAAGAUGGGUUUCUCCGUGAGACAGGCUUUUGAUAUUUCCAUUAAAGGGCAUACAUGUGAUAAUACACACCUGUUAUCUUGAAUUUAUUUAUUCAUUUUUAUUUAGCAUGGGGAACACAUGC